rnacentral:rRNA from 1 species
GAGCGGAGCUUGCUCCUGGAUUCAGCGGCGGACGGGUGAGUAAUGCCUAGGAAUCUGCCUGGUAGUGGGGGACAACGUUUCGAAAGGAACGCUAAUACCGCAUACGUCCUACGGGAGAAAGCAGGGGACCUUCGGGCCUUGCGCUAUCAGAUGAGCCUAGGUCGGAUUAGCUAGUUGGUGAGGUAAUGGCUCACCAAGGCGACGAUCCGUAACUGGUCUGAGAGGAUGAUCAGUCACACUGGAACUGAGACACGGUCCAGACUCCUACGGGAGGCAGCAGUGGGGAAUAUUGGACAAUGGGCGAAAGCCUGAUCCAGCCAUGCCGCGUGUGUGAAGAAGGUCUUCGGAUUGUAAAGCACUUUAAGUUGGGAGGAAGGGCAUUAACCUAAUACGUUAGUGUUUUGACGUUACCGACAGAAUAAGCACCGGCUAACUCUGUGCCAGCAGCCGCGGUAAUACAGAGGGUGCAAGCGUUAAUCGGAAUUACUGGGCGUAAAGCGCGCGUAGGUGGUUUGUUAAGUUGGAUGUGAAAG